UCAUCACUUUUGCAAGUGUUCGGGUUGCUGA
rnacentral:piRNA from 1 species